AGUUUGAUCAUGGCUCAGAAUGAACGUUGGCGGCGUGGAUUAGGCAUGCAAGUCGGACGGGGGGCAACCCCCGUGGCGUAAGGGUGAGUAAGGCGACGGUAACCAACCCCAGGGAUGGCCAUAGCCGCGGGAAACCGCGGGUAAUAGCCAGCGACGUCGGCACGGGGCAUCCCGGGCCGACCAAAGGUGCGAUUCCGCCCUGGGACGGGCCGUCGUGGUAUCAGCUUGUUGGCGAGGUAACGGCUCACCAAGGCUGGGACGCCUACCGGGCGUGCGAGCGUGGCCCGGCACACUGGGACUGAGACACUGCCCAGACUCCUACGGGAGGCUGCAGUCGAGAAUCUUCGGCAAUGGGCGCAAGCCUGACCGAGCGACGCCGCGUGGAGGACGAAGGCCUUCGGGUUGUAAACUCCUGUCGAGGGGGAGCAAGGUGCCCUGAAGAGGGGUGCUUGAGCGAACCCUGGAGGAAGCACGGGCUAAGUUCGUGCCAGCAGCCGCGGUAAGACGAACCGUGCGAACGUUAUUCGGAAUCACUGGGCUUAAAGCGCGUGUA
rnacentral:rRNA from 1 species